rnacentral:rRNA from 1 species
GUGUCAGCCGCCGCGGUAAGACGUAGGAUGCAAGCGUUGUCCGGAUUUAUUGGGCGUAAAGAGUUCGUAGGCUGUUUGUUAAGUCUGAUGUUAAAGACUGGGGCUCAACCUCGGAAAUGCAUUGGAUACUGGCAGACUGGAGUGCAGUAGAGGCUAGUGGAAUUCCCAGUGUAGCGGUGAAAUGCGUAGAUAUUGGGAAGAACACCGGUGGCGUAGGCGACUAGCUGGGCUGUAACUGACGCUGAGGAACGAAAGCCAGGGGAGCGAAUGGGAUUAGAUACCCGCGUAGUCC